UACGGGGGAGCAAGCGUUGUUCGGAUUUACUGGCGUAAAGGGCGCGUAGGCGGCCACCGCAAGUCGAUUGUGAAAUCUCCGGGCUUAACCCGGAAAGGUCAACCGAUACUGCGGGGCUAGAGUGCAGAAGGGGCAACUGGGAAUUCUCGGUGUAGCGGUGAAAUGCGUAGAUAUCGGGAGGAACAUCAGUGGCGAAGGCGGCUGCCUGGCCCAAUACUGACACUCAGGUGCGACAGCGUGGGGAGCAAC
rnacentral:rRNA from 1 species